UUCCUGGUGGUUCAAUGGUUAAGAACCCACCUUGCAAUGCAGAGGACACUGGUUCGAUCUCUAGUCCAGGAAG
rnacentral:tRNA from 1 species